UACGUAGGGUGCAAGCGUUAAUCGGAAUUACUGGGCGUAAAGCGUGCGCAGGCGGUUGUGCAAGUCAGAUGUGAAAGCCCCGGGCUUAACCUGGGAACUGCGUUUGAUACGGACGGGCUAGAGUUCGGGAGAGGAGAGUGGAAUUCCCAGUGUAGAGGUGAAAUUCGUAGAUAUUGGGAAGAACACCGGUGGCGAAGGCGGCUCUCUGGACCGAGACUGACGCUGAGGCGCGAAAGCGUGGGGAGCAAACAGGG
rnacentral:rRNA from 1 species